CUGAGAAGACGACUGGAGCACCUGAAGCGAGAGUACGAGAGGACAGCACAGACUGCAGGUAAAAACAUGCUGUAUUUGUGGUUAUGCAAGAAUUUAUUUUCAAACUGAUGUUAACAUUGUUAGACUGAAUUGAUUUCUGCAGUAUAACAGUGCUCGAAUUGUCAAAUAAUUGAACCUGUAAUGAAUAUAAUUGAACCCAUUUAUAAAUGUCUGUUUGAUUUUCACUUAGAGAGUGGAGGAUCAUGAUGCCAUUCGCAGGCGUGUGCAGAACAGAGUCUCUGACCAGAACAGACGUACACAGAUUGACUUACCACACACAUCUGAGACUUCUUCAGUGGCGACAUCAGAAUAUUCAGAAACCAUCAGAAUCUGCAGUUACAAACCAGUAUAGUUGCAGAAAGAAACAGCUCUGGUUUUUCAGCUGUACAAGGAUUCCCUGCAUCCAAUUGGUACUUGCUGAGAUUAUGUCCAAACUGCCGUUCUCUCCGGUGUUCAAACGAAGCCUCGCUCCCUGCCUACGUUCUAAGCGCAGUCGACUGCGCCUACGGAACAAAGAGUGAGAAUCAGAUACUGACAUCAGCCAAGAAAGAGAUGGAAAUAGAGACAAUAUUUGUGAAAAGGUGGACACUGAAAUAAAGGAGGGCAGUGGAUGUACUGGUAAAGAGAAUAGUCUGAAAAGAAUGAGAAAAUAUGGUAAGAUGAAAGAGAAGGACUAUGAAAAGAAAAAAGAAAGAGAAAAUGAGAGGAUUCCACGUGAGAUGGAGAAGAUCCAAGAUAGACUAGUAGGAAUAAGAACAGCUGGUAAAACUGCUAAGCCAUCACAAGAACUAGAGAAUGAUGGGAAAAGAGAGGGAAUUUGUGAAUUGAACUGCUCUGUGAGCCAAUCAGAUAACAAACUGCCAAUGGUUUCAGUUGAAGAAAAGCAUUUAGAAAUUCAGAACGUUCACUGUAGCCAGGAAAAAGUUAAUGUUGUGGAGAAAUUACACUCAGAUCCAGCUGUGUCUAUCCAAACCUCAUCUCUCCCUCAGUUAACUGAGGCAGUACAUAUUACUGACAAAUCAGAAGAGAUGCUUAAACAAACUAACUCAGAUAAGGGAUAUGAUGACAGGACAGACAUUAAACAAUCCUCAUUUACAUCUGGCGUUCUGGACUCUUGCACACUGGUUGAGGGUUUACCAUUUCCAGUGGAGUAUUAUAUUUGGACUACAAGGCACAUGGCUGCAUCUCACAGUCCUGUUGAUCUAGAUGCUGUCAUUUACAGCCAGCUCACUGGGGGGCGGGGCAGACGCAGGCUCAGCCAAUCGCAAACAAGUGGUAGAGGUCACAUAACCCCAGAGCAUCCAGUCUGCAGGUCCAUCAAUCAGACCAGAUGUGGAGGAAAAGGUCAGAAAGGGAGGAGAGGCCAUCGAAGAAGCACUGUAGGUAGGGCUUCAUGCGGCAAAGCUGCCCUUGAUUGUACAAUAUCACAUCCUGCAAGUGAUUCUCAAGCAGUUUUGGAGUCUGUUAUGGAAUCAAAGUCCACGUCUCAAACUGAAUCACCCAGCCAAUCAGAAUUGGACCUUGAAAGGCUAGAGGCAGAGUAUCAGCCAGUCCAGUCUCCUGGGCCUUCAGUGAGUUUAAAGCCAAGUCCAGAGCAAGGAGUUACUCAAGAUUUUAAGCAUCUCCCAGACUCUCAGCUUUACUUUGAUUCCCAACCCCUCUCAGAUUCAAAUUUGUACCCUAUUUUCAGAAGAAAACAUGGCCAAACUGGAAGAGAGUCUGAGACAAGUACAAAUAAAGAUGAUCAUUCACUUCUUCUGCCAUCAUUAGCUUCACUCAUUCAAGCUCUUCAACAAAAACUGGACUGCUGGCUGCUAUUGAUUUCCAGGACUUCCAACUACCUGAUGAAGAUUUUGGACAACUAA
rnacentral:lncRNA from 1 species